CAGCAGUUCAAGUUGCAUCCCUUUUUAUUGGGUCUAAAACAUCCGUAGCUUGCCGUUUAAGUCUCUUGUGAAAUCUCGUGUCUCAAGCACGAGGCUUGCAGGAGAUACUGAGCGGCUAGAGAUCGGUAGACGUAAAGAGUAGGCCGGGGGUAAUGGUAAAAUGUGUUAAUCCUCGGUCGACUAACAAUGAGCGAAGGCACUUUACGAGGACGAAUCUGACAGUGAGGGAUGAAAGCUGGGGGAGCAAACCGGAUUAGAUACCCGCGUAGUCC
rnacentral:rRNA from 1 species